rnacentral:rRNA from 1 species
AUGAACGCUGGCUACAGGCUUAACACCUGCCAGUCGAGGGGAAACGACGGGGAAGCUUGCUUCCCCGGGCGUCGACCGGCGCACGGGUGAGUAACGCGUAUCCAACCUGCCUCUGACUGAGGGAUAACCCGUCGAAAGUCGGCCUAAUACCUCAUGGUAUCGUCUGCGGGCAUCCAACGACGAUUAAAGAUUUCAUCGGUCAGGGAUGGGGAUGCGUCUGAUUAGCUUGUUGGCGGGGUAACGGCCCACCAAGGCUACGAUCAGUAGGGGUUCUGAGAGGAAGGUCCCCCACAUUGGAACUGAGACACGGUCCAAACUCCUACGGGAGGCAGCAGUGAGGAAUAUUGGUCAAUGGGCGAGAGCCUGAACCAGCCAAGUAGCGUGCAGGAAGACGGCCCUAUGGGUUGUAAACUGCUUUUAUGCGGGGAUAAAGUGAGGGACGUGUCCCUCAUUGCAGGUACCGCAUGAAUAAGGACCGGCUAAUUCCGUG